GAUGAAGAACGCAGUGAAAUGCGAUAAGUAAUGUGAAUUGCAGAAUUCAGUGAAUCAUCGAAUCUUUGAACGCACAUUGCGCCCGGUAGUAUUCUGCCGGGCAUGCCUGUUCGAGCGUCAUUUCAACCAUCAAGCCCCAGCGCUUGUGUUGGGGGCCUGCGGCUGCCGCAGCCCCCUAAAAGCAGUGGCGGGCUCGCUAUCACACCGAGUGCAGUAGUUCAUCUUCUCUCCGGUCUUGUGAGGCGGGUUCCGGCCGUGAAACACCCCACUACAUUCAAGGUUGACCUCGGAUCAGGUAGGAAUACCCGCUGAACUUAAGCAUAUCAUAAGCGGAGGA
rnacentral:misc_RNA from 1 species